GGGUUGUGAGGUUAAGCGACUAAGCGUACACGGUGGAUGCCCUGGCAGUCAGAGGCGAUGAAGGACGUGCUAAUCUGCGAUAAGCGUCGGUGAGGUGAUAUGAACCGUUAUAACCGGCGAUUUCCGAAUGGGGAAACCCAGUGUGUUUCGACACACUAUCAUUAACUGAAUCCAUAGGUUAAUGAGGCGAACCGGGGGAACUGAAACAUCUAAGUACCCCGAGGAAAAGAAAUCAACCGAGAUUCCCCCAGUAGCGGCGAGCGAACGGGGAGGAGCCCAGAGCCUGAAUCAGUGUGUGUGUUAGUGGAAGCGUCUGGAAAGGCGCGCGAUACAGGGUGACAGCCCCGUACACAAAAAUGCACAUAUUGUGAGCUCGAUGAGUAGGGCGGGACACGUGGUAUCCUGUCUGAAUAUGGGGGGACCAUCCUCCAAGGCUAAAUACUCCUGACUGACCGAUAGUGAACCAGUACCGUGAGGGAAAGGCGAAAAGAACCCCGGCGAGGGGAGUGAAAAAGAACCUGAAA
rnacentral:rRNA from 1 species